GACGAACGCUGGCGGCGUGCUUAACACAUGCAAGUCGAACGGAAAGGCCCUGCUUUUGUGGGGUGCUCGAGUGGCGAACGGGUGAGUAACAAGUGAGUAACCUGCCCUUGACUUUGGGAUAACUUCAGGAAACUGGGGCUAAUAACGGAUAGGAGCUCCUGCUGCAUGGUGGGGGUUGGAAAGUUUCGGCGGUUGGGGAUGGACUCGCGGCUUAUCAGCUUGUUGGUGGGGUAGUGGCUUACCAAGGCUUUGACGGGUAGCCGGCCUGGGAGGGUGACCGGCCACAUUGGGACUGAGAUACGGCCCAGACUCCUACGGGAGGCAGCAGGGGGGAAUAUUGCACAGUGGUCGGAAGCCUAAGGCAGCAACGCCGCGUGCGGGAUGACGGCCUUCGGGUUGUAAACCGCUUUCGCCUGUGACGAAGCGUGAGUGACGGUAAUGGGUAAAGAAGCACCGGCUAACUACGUG
rnacentral:rRNA from 1 species